UCACAUAUUUUCUUGUUUAUCAAUGCUUAGCUACUUCUUCAUGAUUAUUGAUCCAUGUUUUCAAGCAGUAUCUUUUUAUGUUGGCUCUUUAUUGUUUGUGCUAAUACUUUAGAAUCUCUUGAUUGUUUUUGUAUCUGAUUGCUGCAGCAUGGGUCUAGACUUGGUCAAGGCCGGAGUCAUUGAACCUGCCAUGUGCAAAGUAAAAAUAAUUCAAACACGAUGCUUGACACAACCUUUUAUGUUUGCUACGGAAGCUGUUAUUACUAUCCUUCGGAUCGAUGACAUGAUCAAGCUUUUCAAAGAUGAAAGUCUGAAUGGGGAGGAUUGAGUUGGGUUCUAGGCGAUCGCUGCAUGGUGUACUGUUGGAAUGGUUUUAAACCUCCCCUUCGGAAAGUUAGGGUUAAGUUUUUCUUGUGUUCGUUUUUUUUUAAAAAAAAUUAAUAGGGAUUGAAUUAUUUUACAGGACGAAUAUGACAACUGAUCGUCACGUUUGUUAAUCUUUUCCUUAAGGGGAAAUUGAUUUUCAGUAGAUGAAACCGAUAUCCAUGAGGUUGCACAGAGGGAAAGAGAGGAUGAUGCUUGGUGAAAUUAUUUACGAUUGGUGAUUUAAUUUAAAUUGAUGUACUAUGUUUUAUUGAAAUAAAAGAAAAUUGUUGUA